rnacentral:lncRNA from 1 species
AAGAUGAUGUUUGUAAAUAAAGUCAGUUUAUAUGUACAUGGUUUUAUAUGUGAUAAAUUUACAUGUAAAAGGCUGCUGUCCAUUUCAAGAACCCUGAUAUUUUAUUUAUUUUCAUUAUCACAGUUAUCAUUGUUAUUUUUGUGUGUUAAAUCCGUUCCUAAUCCAGAAACAACUUAGCAAUAAAUGUUUAUUUGGUAAGUUCCUAGGAUAACCUUCAUUGAGUGGGGUAUAGCUUUAUUUUGCUAUUAUGGAGAGUGAAUUGAAAAAGAAGAACCUCUUGAUUUGGAUUUUUUUUCUUGUAGACAAAACCACAGUCAACAUGAAUUCCAAAUGAUAACACUUAGUGUCCUGUGGAGUGCUGAGAGAAAUCCAGAUGAUUCAGAAUUUUUGUGUCAAGAGAAGAUGCUGAAGUUGGUGCUUCCAGGAUGUUCCCAGGCACCCAAUAUGCGCUCCAUCGGAAAGAGGUGCAUGAUAUGCUCAAGUCUGCUCCUGAUCUUAAGACAAAAUAAAUAGCAAGAACAGAGGAACAGAGGGGAAUGCAACUCAUAGGAUAAUUUAAGACAUGACAAAAAGUUAAGCCAUGAAUGAAAUGAGAGACUACAGACAGUAGAGUGAGAGUUGGGACAGUGUGUGUGAUCCUGUGAGCUUUUGUGUGUUUAGUUUCAUGAAUUAAACAACAAAGGCUGUUGUGCUGUGUGUGCUUCUUUAAGCUGUUUCCAGUACAAGCUCAACUUUCUCAAGUGCAGCGCUGUUGACAGUUGUACUGGCGCUGAAGUCUCCCUUGACAAAAGAACAGUCACUGCAGAAGUGUCAGCAAAAACGUGUACCUUUGAUCCUUCCAUCGGUGGGCAGACCCUAAGCAAGAUGUCUGUAUUCAUCAUCCUGUUGACCUUCCUAUUUUCUCUGCCCCAUUGCUCUAAAAAGAUGCUAGAGAAUGCUGGUUUCCCGAAAGGCUUAAGUUAAAGUCCAGAAAGCAGGGAUGCCUUCCUCCUGUUUCUCACCUUUUUCUUGGCUAGAGUAGAUUUAUGUAUUGAAUCAGAAACGACAGUACUAUCAAGGAAACCACAUUAUUUGCCUUAUCUUGGAAUAAAGAUUUUUAUAGACUUGAGUAAACGUGUAGAAACUGGUUAUUGCAUACAUCAACUUAUCUAAUAAACUUUCCCUUGUGUUUACCCAGGUGUGGUUUUUAGUUUAAUAAACAUCACCUUAGUGAUUUUGAAGUUUACCAGGAAGUGGCUAUAAUUCUGUUGUGUGGACAUAGCUUGGAACUAUUUCUAAGGAUAUGAACCUGAUUAUAAACUCAUUUAACAGUCCAUUUCUAGAAAUUCUAACUCUCUUUACAUGAGAAAGUUGACAUUCCAAAAAGUAAAGGUGUAGGUGUUUAUCCUAAUGUAAAUUCCCCUUAUCCUUCAUACUUUGUUUUUUUUUCAUCUGCUAUCCUUAAAAAUAUG